rnacentral:misc_RNA from 1 species
ACGGGACCGCUUUUGCUGCAGAAAACAAUAUGGCAUCAUGAUGAAUGAACCCAUUCGCCGACCAGAUCAAAUAUCUCCGAAGUCGAGUCCCCGGGGGUCACGUUCACCAGCCUACCCCCGGGCAGACUCAUCAGGAACCCUCAGAACAACCAUAAGUCUAGGACGUGUGCCGACGGUCAUACAUUCUGGACCGUUCUAUCUGGUGAAAGACAUGGGGUCUGGAACGGCCAAUCCUUCAGAGAUGACGGGAAGUAACAACCUCAUCAUCCAUUAUGAUCUGGAACAUUCCUACAGCAAGUUCUGUAAGAAGGAGGGUAAAGAAGAACUCAGUGCAUUCCUGCCAAAUCUUCCUGGCUAUAUAGACGCUCCUGGUAUCAAUGAUAACAGUUCUCUCAGGUCACUUAUAGAUAAACCGCCCAUUACCGGAAAGGAACUAAACCCCUUGUCCAACAGUUCUCUGACAGGUUUCCGUCUCCACCCUGGACCGCUGCCAGAGCAAUAUAGGUUUAUGAACCAGAUGCCAAAGAAAAAGCCCAAACCAAAGCGGAAAAAGGAUGAAAAAGCAAGUGCUUUACAGGACUAUCCUGAUAAUCCUGUAGAAGGUGGACAUGAUAAAAAGACCAAGAAACCAAAACAUGAUACGGAGAAACAAAAAAGAAAAAAGAAGAAAAAGAAAAAAGUGAAGGAAAAAGAUGAAGAGUCCCAGUCCUGAAUAUGUAGUGGUGUCAGUAGAGUGGUGUAUAAAAGUGCAAUAUGUGUAGUCAUGGAGUCUACAACCCUGUCAGAGCUGUCCUAGUCACGUGACUGACAAUGGACUUAAACUGGAGUGACAGCCUGAUCAUGUGACUGAUAAUGGACUAAAACUGGAGUGACAGCCUGAUCAUGUGACUUACAAUGGGCUAAAACUGGAGUGACAUCCUGAUCAUGUGACUGAUAAUGGACUAAAAUUAAGGUGACAGCCUGAUCAUGUGACUGAUAAUGGACUAAAACUGGAGUGACAGCCUGAUCCUGUGACUGAUAAUGGACUAAAACUAGGGUGACAGCCUGAUCAUGUGACUGAUAAUGGACUAAAACUAGGGUGACAGCCUGAUCAUGUGACUUACAAUGGGCUAAUACUGGAGUGACAUCCUGAUCAUGUGACUGAUAAUGGACUAAAACUAGGGUGACAGCCUGAUCAUGUGACUGAUAAUGGACUAAAACUAGGGUGACAGCCUGAUCAUGUGACUGAUAAUGGACUAAAACUGGAGUGACGGCCAAGGCCUGUGACUAAUUAUAAACUACACUGGAAUGACAGUUGGGUCAUUGACUAACUCAACUAGUCUGGAGUGUUGCUUGAUCAUGUGAUUGACUUCAGAUUACCAUGGAAUGUCAGCCUUGUCGUGCGACUAACUUUUGACUACACUGAAAUGUUGGCCAGUUCAUGUGACUUUGGACUACACUGGAAUGUCAGCCUGUUCAUGUGACUUUGGACUACACUGGAAUGUCAGCCUUGUCAUGUGACUUUGGACUACACUGGAAUGUCAGCCUUGUCAUGUGACUUUGGACUACACUGGAAUGUCAGCCUUGCCAUUUGACUACAAUGUAAUUGCCAAUGUUAGCCUGGUUUGGUGACUCGCUUUGUACUUGACCUUGCAAGACUUUAGUAGUCAACAGUUAAGUACCGGUGCUUGUUUGGACAGUUGUUAUAAUGUCACCGCGCUCGAUUUGUUAUCCUGCUGCAGUGUCUCAUGGAGAUUGUAUGUAAUAGCCUACAGCUAUCUCAGUGAUUACAAACAUCAUCAGAUACUUGGAGAUGUCACAAGGUAUUAUUUACUGUCUCGGAUAGAAACUUCUAUACAAAUGUGAUGUAAUCAGUUUUGGAAAAUUUCUCAUCAAGUAAAUAUUUUCUUAGUAUGAAUGUUUUUGCUACUUCGGGACAGUAUUUUCAUGUGCGAAUGUGUUUUAUAUUUACAUCACACCUGAGCAAUUGAUUGAGAUCUAGAACAAUACCGCAACAUGAACGGUUUAAAGAGACAGAUAUCCGCAACAAUGACAUGACCAGCUCCACGGUGUGGUAAAGUGGAGGCAAUAACUAGUUAAUGUUAACUUAUCAUUACAGAUGUGUUACAGAUAUUACGUCUUCAAACGGUUACGUGCUAAUGAUAAAUUUCUCUUUGAUUUUUUUAUGUAAUAAAGGUGAAAUGUGAAA